rnacentral:rRNA from 1 species
GGGUCAGUAGGUUGGACGUGCCACCGGUACGUACUGGUCUCACUGAUUCCUCCUUCCUGAAGAACCGUAAUGCCAUUAAUUAGGUGUUGCGGGGAAACAGGACUGUUACUUUGAAAAAAUUAGAGUGUUUAAAGCAAGCGAACGCUUGAAUACAUUAGCAUGGAAUAAUGAAAUAGGACGAUCGAUCCUAUUUUGUUGGUUUCUAGGAUUGACGUA